UGCAAGCGUUGUCCGGAAUUAUUGGGCGUAAAGAGCUCGUAGGCGGUCUGUCGCGUCGGCUGUGAAAACUCGGGGCUCAACCCCGAGCCUGCAGCCGAUACGGGCAGACUAGAGUUCGGUAGGGGAGACUGGAAUUCCUGGUGUAGCGGUGAAAUGCGCAGAUAUCAGGAGGAACACCGGUGGCGAAGGCGGGUCUCUGGGCCGUAACUGACGCUGAGGAGCGAAAGCGUGGGGAGCGAACAGG
rnacentral:rRNA from 1 species